AUGUAUAGGCUUCCAAAAUCUGGAUAUCCUCUCCCAGGGCUUGCUGAUGUGUCUGAGAAGGGUUUACAGUCAUGGGGGACACACUACUGGAGCCUGGGAGGUCCAUGCCUGUGCAGCCCACCACAGAGCAGAGAGCUCACUGCAUGCUGCCACUUCUGGAACAAAAGAGAGUUUAAGAAAUUAUGUCUAGCAGGACUUCUGAUUUCAACCUUGACAGAAAAGAAUAUGGUUGUCAUUUCUCUCUACAAGAAAAAAAGAUAUCUACAAGAAAUUUAAGAGAAAGCAUGAAAGCUCUCCCAGCUCUGGCGCCAGAUGCCUCUCUAUUUACUCUUCUGACGAUCAAUAUAAUGACAUAAACGGGAUCACAUCGCUCCUCGACUCAAAGUCCUCCAGUGACAUCUCAUUUCUGAAUAAAAGCCACAGGUAUUUUUAUGGCCUGCA
rnacentral:lncRNA from 1 species